CCUACGGGAGGCAGCAGUGAGGAAUAUUGGUCAAUGGACGAGAGUCUGAACCAGCCAAGUAGCGUGAAGGAUGACUGCCCUAUGGGUUGUAAACUUCUUUUAUAUGGGAAUAAAACGUUCCACGUGUGGGCUUUUGUAUGUACCAUAUGAAUAAGGAUCGGCUCACUCCGUGCCAGCAGCCGCGGUAAUACGGAGGAUCCGAGCGUUAUCCGGCUUUAUUGGGGUUAAAGGGAGCGUAGGUGGAUUGGUAAGUCAGUUGUGAAAGUUUGGGGCUCAACAGGACACUUGCAGUUGAUACUGGCAGGCUUGAGUACAGUAGAGGUGGGCGGAAUUCGUGGUGUAGCGGUGAAAUGCUUAGAUAUCACGAAGAACUCCGAUGGCGAAGGCAGUACACUGGACUGCAACUGACGCUGAGGCGCGAAAGUGUGGGGAUCAAACAGGAUUAGAUACCCGAGUAGUC
rnacentral:rRNA from 1 species